UACAGAGGGGGCAAGCGUUGUUCGGAAUUACUGGGCGUAAAGGGCGCGUAGGCGGCCGCCUAAGUCAGACGUGAAAUCCCUCGGCUCAACCGGGGAACUGCGUCUGAUACUGGGAGGCUUGAAUCCGGGAGAGAAAUGUGGAAUUCCAGGUGUAGCGGUGAAAUGCGUAGAUAUCUGGAGGAACACCGGUGGCGAAGGCGGCAUCCUGGACCGAGAUUGACGCUGAGGCGCGAAAGCCAGGGGAGCAAACGGG
rnacentral:rRNA from 1 species